AUAUUUCCAUGCGGGAGGAAGUUCUUGCACUGGAUGGCCGUUAAGGAGAGAUUCUUGGCUCUGCCUUGCAUAAAUCUCUAUGACUUCUGCUGUAGUGCAUGCUUUUCUUUCAAAAGUGUUUUUAUUAUCCGUGCUUCUGGCCAUCUUACUUCAACGUCAUCUUCAAAUGCAUUUCUCACUAAGGAUGUACUUAGCCUACCUUUAGCUAUGUCUUUUUUAUGCUUUUGUAAUCUUGUUUCUGACGAUCUUAAAGUAACUCCAAUAUAUGCUUCUUGUAAGUUUUUCGUAUUGUUUAUGGUGGGAAUUCUAUAACCCCUGCUUUCUGCUC
rnacentral:lncRNA from 1 species